CAAGGCAUUUGUCAGAAAUCAUCAGUUAUUUCCAAUUUGUUUGUUCGGCACUCCCGGUUGGUCUCAUACAGUAUUAGAAAUGGCAGCAAUCAGCCUGUUCAACACAGUGCUCUAUCUAGCCAUCGCCCUACACAAAGAAAAUGAUGGCACAAAUUCCGUAGUCCUGCGGAGCCUAGCAGCACCAGAAAGUAGAUUCACCUACCACUAUCGGCACUCCCAGUCAGAAGAGGUGAUAUUCACGAGUACCACUGGCAGCAAACAAGACCUGACAGUACAGUGCAACAAGCUCUCAACAAUGGCCAGGGAUGCCGUUGAGCACCAAGAGAACAUAUUCCACCUCAGAGAUCACCCGGACCCCCAGCUGGAGGGGCAUCAGAAAGUCAUGCUUGUGCACAAGCGCACACAGCUAGUGCUGGUGGCAGAUCCAAGCAGCGAGGAGGCGUCCAGAAUACACCUGGUGCCAUUGCCAGUGGUUCAAGCAUCCACACUGCUGCAAAGGUAUGCCCUAUUCAAAACA